AUACGCAAUCCGGCGAACAAUACUCUCAAAGUUUGACCUCAAAUCAGGUAGGAAUACCCGCUGAACUUAAGCAUAUCAAUAAGCGGAGGAAAAGAAACCAACCGGGAUUGCCUUAGUAACGGCGAGUGAAGCGGCAAAAGCUCAAAUUUGAAAUCUGGUACCUUCGGUGCCCGAGUUGUAAUUUGUAGAAGGUAACUUUGGGGCUGGUCCUUGUCUAUGUUCCUUGGAACAGGACGUCAUAGAGGGUGAGAAUCCCGUGUGGCGAGGAUCCCAGUUCUUUGUAAAGUGCUUUCGAAGAGUCGAGUUGUUUGGGAAUGCAGCUCUAAGUGGGUGGUAAAUUCCAUCUAAAGCUAAAUAUUGGCGAGAGACCGAUAGCGAACAAGUACAGUGAUGGAAAGAUGAAAAGAACUUUGAAAAGAGAGUGAAAAAGUACGUGAAAUUGUUGAAAGGGAAGGGCAUUUGAUCAGACAUGGUGUUUUGCGCCCUCUGCUCCUUGUGGGUGGGGGAAUCUCGCAGCUCACUGGGCCAGCAUCAGUUUUGGCGGCAGGAUAAAUCUGCAGGAAUGUAGCUUGCCUCGGUAAGUGUUAUAUCCUGUAGAAAUACUGCCAGCUGGGACUGAGGACUGCGACUUUACGUCAAGGAUGCUGGCAUAAUGGUUAUAUGCCGCCCGUCUUGAAACACGGACCAAGGAGUCUAACGUCUAUGCGAGUGUU
rnacentral:rRNA from 1 species